UACGUAGGGCGCGAGCGUUGUCCGGAAUUAUUGGGCGUAAAGAGCUCGUAGGCGGUUUGUCGCGUCUGGUGUGAAAAUCCAGGGCUUAACCCUGGACCUGCAUCGGGUACGGGCAGACUAGAGUGCGGUAGGGGAGAUCGGGAUUCCUGGUGUAGCGGUGAAAUGCGCAGAUAUCAGGAGGAACACCGGUGGCGAAGGCGGAUCUCUGGGCCGUAACUGACGCUGAGGAGCGAAAGCAUGGGGAGCGAACAGG
rnacentral:rRNA from 1 species